rnacentral:rRNA from 1 species
AUUAAGACAACUUUCAACAACGGAUCUCUUGGCUCUUGCAUCGAUGAAGAACGCAGUGAAAUGCGAUACGUAAUGUGAAUUGCAGAAUUCCGUGAAUCAUCAAAUCUUUGAACGCAAAUUGCACUCCUUGGUAUUCCGAGGAGUAUGCUUGCUUGAGGGU